rnacentral:rRNA from 1 species
UACGAAGGGGGCUAGCGUUGCUCGGAAUUACUGGGCGUAAAGGGCGCGUAGGCGGCCUUCUAAGUCAGACGUGAAAUCCCUCGGCUCAACCGGGGAACUGCGUCUGAGACUGGAAGGCUUGAAUCCGGGAGAGGGAUGUGGAAUUCCAGGUGUAGCGGUGAAAUGCGUAGAUAUCUGGAGGAACACCGGUGGCGAAGGCGGCAUCCUGGACCGGUAUUGACGCUGAGGCGCGAAAGCCAGGGGAGCAAACGGG